GACGAACGCUGGCGGCGUGCUUAACACAUGCAAGUCGAACGGAAAGGCCCUGCUUUUGUGGGGUGCUCGAGUGGCGAACGGGUGAGUAACACGUGAGUAACCUGCCCUUGACUUUGGGAUAACUUCAGGAAACUGGGGCUAAUACCGGAUAGGAGCUCCUGCUGCAUGGUGGGGGUUGGAAAGUUUCGGCGGUUGGGGAUGGACUCGCGGCUUAUCAGCUGGUUGGGGGGGUAGUGGCUUUCCAAGGGUUUGACGGGUAGCCGGCCUGAGAGGGUGACCGGCCACAUUGGGACUGAGAUACGGCCCAGACUCCUACGGGAGGCAGCAGUGGGGAAUAUUGCACAAUGGGCGGAAGCCUGAUGCAGCAACGCCGCGUGCGGGAUGACGGCCUUCGGGUUGUAAACCGCUUUCGCCUGUGACGAAGCGUGAGUGACGGUAAUGGGUAAAGAAGCACCGGCUAACUACGUG
rnacentral:rRNA from 1 species